GUUUAUGGCCAUAACCCCCUGAACAGGAUCAGGCCUGAUCUCUUCUGAUUUCGGACAUCAAGAAGGGUAGGGCCAGUUUAGUACUUGGAUGAGAUUUCAACUAGAACUAUCGGGCUUUAUUUACA
ensembl:rRNA 5S_rRNA 5S ribosomal RNA